UCCGUAGGUGAACCUGCGGAGGGAUCAUUACCGAGUUUACAACUCCCAAACCCCUGUGAACAUACCUAUACGUUGCCUCGGCGGAUCAGCCCGCGCCCCGUAAAAAGGGACGGCCCGCCCGAGGACCCCUAAACUCUGUUUUUAGUGGAACUUCUGAGUAAAACAAACAAAUAAAUCAAAACUUUCAACAACGGAUCUCUUGGUUCUGGCAUCGAUGAAGAACGCAGCAAAAUGCGAUAAGUAAUGUGAAUUGCAGAAUUCAGUGAAUCAUCGAAUCUUUGAACGCACAUUGCGCCCGCCAGUAUUCUGGCGGGCAUGCCUGUUCGAGCGUCAUUUCAACCCUCAAGCUCAGCUUGGUGUUGGGACUCGCGGUAACCCGCGUUCCCCAAAUCGAUUGGCGGUCACGUCGAGCUUCCAUAGCGUAGUAAUCAUACACCUCGUUACUGGUAAUCGUCGCGGCCACGCCGUAAAACCCCAACUUCUGAAUGUUGACCUCGGAUCAGGUAGGAAUACCCGCUGAACUUAAGCAUAUCAAUAAGCGGAG
rnacentral:rRNA from 1 species